UCACCGUAUCAAGCCUGGCUUGGUGUUGGGCCCCUUGUCACUUGGUGACAGGUCCAAAAGACAAUGACCGGUGUCGUAGCGACUCUAUAUGCAACGAGCUUAUCACAGCAUGCAUCUGGCAGUCGUGUGGCCCCGGCCCCUCAUCAAAUUAAUUUUCAA
rnacentral:misc_RNA from 1 species